UAUAGUCUACUUCAAUUGGAAACAAUU
rnacentral:autocatalytically_spliced_intron from 1 species